rnacentral:misc_RNA from 1 species
GAUGAAUAAUUAAUUACUUUCAUUGUAAAUUUGUUAUCUUCGUAUAGUACUAAAAGUAUGAGUUAUUAAGCCAUCCCAACUUAAUAACCAUGUAAAAUUAGCAAGUGAGUAACAUUUGCUAGUAGAGUUAGUUUCCUUGGACUCAGUGCUAUGUAUUUUUCUUAAUUAUCAUUACAGAUAAUUAUUUCUAGCAUGUAAGCUAUCGUAAACAACAUCGAUUUAUCAUUAUUUGAUAAAUAAAAUUUUUUUCAUAAUUAAUAACAUCCCCAAAAAUAGAUUGAAAAAAUAACUGUAAAACAUUCCCUUAAUAAUAAGU